rnacentral:rRNA from 1 species
CUGCUGCCUCCCGUAGGAGUUUGGGCCGUGUCUCAGUCCCAAUGUGGCCGGUCACCCUCUCAGGUCGGCUACUGAUCGUCGGCUUGGUGGGCCGUUACCCCGCCAACUACCUAAUCAGACGCGGGUCCAUCCUGUACCACCGGAGUUUUUCACACCGGACCAUGCGGUCCUGUGCGCUUAUGCGGUAUUAGCAGUCAUUUCUAACUGUUGUCCCCCUGUACAGGGCAGGUUACCCACGCGUUACUCACCCGUCGCCACUCAGU